UGUGGAUUCAAUUUUGUGUUCUUGGACGUUAGUUAGGGGCGCCGUCUGCCAUUAGGUGAUAUUUCAGACAUAGAGCGCUGUGAGAGUCAGUGAGCCCUGAGCCAUGCGCCCUGCUGUGGUAACUGACGUCCUUCUCCUGGUGGUGUUGACAUUCAUGUCAGACUCUGCAGCUGGGAAUCCUGUUCCAGACUGUGGCAAUGCUGCCACAUGUGAAGGGAUCGAUGAUGAAGGCUGGCUCCAGCUGGGUGAAAACUGCUGUUUGAAGCCAUUCAACACAUUGUAUUUGACCUUUGAUGAGGCAGAGAGAGCCUGUAGUGAGUACACAUCAAACAGUGGUUUGAGGGGAACUGCAUCGAUUUUCCAUCUCAGUGUAUUUCCAGGUGUUCGGGAGUCCUACUAUGCAUGUUUUAAAAGUAGUAUGAAACCUUUAGUGUCUCUGGAGUUAACUGUAUGAAGUCUGAUAAAAAUGAUGUGAUGUCACUUGAGUCAGGGUUGGUUUGAGACUACAAAUUUGAAAAGUAAUACAAAUCUUGAGGUGUGUAGUUGUAGAUACACAAGUGCAAUGAUGAAUUUAUGGAUUACUCUUUUAAUGCAGAUCAAUGGAUGG